UCUCCUGGAAACGGGUGGUAAUGCCGGAUGCUCCGACUCCUCGCAUGGGGUGUCGGGAAAGAUUCAUCGGUAUGGGAUGGGGUCGCGUCCUAUCAGGUAGUCGGCGGGGUAACGGCCCACCGAGCCUACGACGGGUAGCCGGCCUGAGAGGGCGACCGGCCACAUUGGGACUGAGAUACGGCCCAGACUCCUACGGGAGGCAGCAGUGGGGAAUAUUGCACAAUGGGCGCAAGCCUGAUGCAGCGACGCCGCGUGCGGGAUGACGGCCUUCGGGUUGUAAACCGCUUUUGAUCGGGAGCAAGCCUUCGGGUGAGUGUACCUUUCGAAUAAGCACCGGCUAACUACGUGCCAGCAGCCGCGGUAAUACGUAGGGUGCAAGCGUUAUCCGGAAUUAUUGGGCGUAAAGGGCUCGUAGGCGGUUCGUCGCGUCCGGUGUGAAAGUCCAUCGCUUAACGGUGGAUCUGCGCCGGGUACGGGCGGGCUGGAGUGCGGUAGGGGAGACUGGAAUUCCCGGUGUAACGGUGGAAUGUGUAGAUAUCGGGAAGAACACCA
rnacentral:rRNA from 1 species